UGAAUGUUAUGCUGCAUCUGCCGAAGUCGACAACGCAAGUGCCGUCCGUCUGCUUCUUCUUCUGAACAUGGUGUGCAACCUAUGGAGCAGGUUGUGGGCACAGACUGACAAGGUAGAAUACUGGAAGUAGAAAAUGCUAACUGCUGGGGGUCAGAAAAGGCUGCAUAGUCUUAUCCUGAAGAAAAAGAAGGUGCUGGCCAUCUGAUGAUUUUAAUUGAGACAAUGGUUUCAAACAUUGACAACGGAGGCACCAAAGCACUUAUGAGUCAAAGGACAGCACAUGGAAAAUUGGAAGCAGGCAGUACGGCUGCAGGAUUCUCUUUUGAACUACUGGAUCAUUUAUUUCAAUUGGCUUCAGCAAAGCCAGUCAUCUGCACCCGCAGUAUAACAGAGGGUCUUGGUGGAAUGCUGCAAGCUCACCAAAUAAGAUCAUCACUGAGUUGAAAUGGGUACAGAGUUCACAUAGGCUGGAUGUAUUUGAUUGUUAAUUUGUUGAUGAAUCUAUAUGUAAUUCUGCAAAAUAAAACAUGAUUUUCUUUCAAAAA